rnacentral:rRNA from 1 species
CCUACGGGAGGCAGCAGUGGGGGAUAUUGCACAAUGGGGGAAACCCUGAUGCAGCGACGCCGCGUGAGUGAAGAAGUACUUCGGCAUGUAAAGCUCUAUCAGCAGGGAAGAAAAUGACAGUACCUGACCAAGAAGCCCCGGCGAACUACGUGCCAGCAGCCGCGGGAAUACGUAGGGGGCAAGCGUUAACCGGAUUUACUGGGUGGAAAGGGAGCGUAGACGGUUAAGUAAGUCUGGAGUGAAAGCCCGGGGCCCAACCCCGGGACUGCCUUGGAAACUGUGUGACUGGAGUACGGGAGGGGCAGGCGGAAUUCCUGGUGUAGCGGUGAAAUGCGUAGAUAUCAGGAGGAACACCGGCGGCGAAGGCGGCCUGCUGGACCGAGACUGACGUUGAGGCUCGAAAGCGUGGGGAGCGAACAGGAUUAGAUACCCGAGUAGUC